CCAAUAGCGUAUAUUAAAGUUGUUGCAGUUAAAAAGCUCGUAGUUGAAUUUCGGGAUCAAUUAGUCGGUCGUGCCUCUGGUACGUACUGGUUUUAUUGGUUCCUCCCUUCUGACGAAACAUGAUGUCAUUAAUUUGGUGUCGUGGAGAAUCAGGACUGUUACCUUGAAAAAAUUAGAGUGUUUAUAGCAGGCUAACGCUUGAAUACAUUAGCAUGGAAUAAUGAAAUAGGACGUUCGACCCUAUUUUGUUGGUUUCUAGGAUCGACGUAAUGAUUAAUAGGGAUAGGUGGGGGCAUUAGUAUUCAAUUGUCAGAGGUGAAAUUCUUGGAUUUAUUGAAGACUAACUACUGCGAAAGCAUUUGCCAAGGAUGUUUUCAUUAAUCAAGAACGAAAGUUAGGGGAUCGAAGACGAUCAGAUACCGUCGUAGUCUUAACCAUAAACUAUGCCGACUAGGGAUCAGACAAGGAUAUUUUGACUUGUUUGGCACCUUAUG
rnacentral:rRNA from 1 species